rnacentral:snRNA from 1 species
GUGCUUGCUUCAUCAGCACACACAAUAAAAUUGAAAGAAAAUGGAGGUUAGCAUGGUCCUUGCUCUCAAGGAUGGUAUGGAAAUUUAUGAAGCAUCCAUAUUUUGU